CAGCAGCCGCGGGAAAACGUAGGUGGCAAGCGUUGUCCGGAAUUAUUGGGCGUAAAGGGCUCGCAGGCGGUUUCUUAAGUCUGAUGUGAAAGCCCCCGGCUCAACCGGGGAGGGUCAUUGGAAACUGGGAAACUUGAGUGCAGAAGAGGAGAGUGGAAUUCCACGUGUAGCGGUGAAAUACGUAGAGAUGUGGAGGAACACCAGUGGCGAAGGCGACUCUCUGGUCUGUAACUGACGCUGAGGAGCGAAAGCGUGGGGAGCGAACAGGAUUAGAUACCCCAGUAGUCCCUGUCUCUUAUAC
rnacentral:rRNA from 1 species